GCCUUCGUGACGUAGUGGUCAGCACGCUCGGCGCGUAUUCGAGAGGUCCGUGGUUCGAGUCCCGGCGAGGGUA
rnacentral:tRNA from 1 species